rnacentral:lncRNA from 1 species
CAGAGGCCCAAAACAACCCAGAAGAAAAAAAAACACAAAUGACCAAAAAGAGACACAAUGCAUCUGCAAAGUGACAAAGACCCACAAAGGGAUACAAAAUACUGUCAGGGAAAUCUGGUCCAGAAGCUGAGCAUGGUUAUUGAGAACCAGAAAGAGGAGCUCCGCCUGCUGCUGCAGCUGAUGGCUCGCUCUUCUUCGGCUCGACCCAUGGGCUAAGUGGGGAGAUACAGGAAUGGACAUGUACUUGAAGACAAUCACACCUGGACUUCUUCCUCCUGUUUUCCUGAUCAAUAAUAAAAACACUGAUG